AAGUCGUAACAAGGUUUCCGUAGGUGAACCUGUGGAAGGAUCAUUAACAAAUGUCCCAACCACCCCACGUCUGUGAACUGUUACCCCAAAAGCUUUGGGUGUGCACCGUGCCAGACCCCCCCAGUCAGCAAUGCCUGGGAGGCUCUAGCCGGACCACCUGUAUAUUUACGUUGAAAUACCCUUCACUGAGACUUUAUACUAAAAAUAAAGACAACUUUUAGCAACGGAUCUCUAGGCUCUC
rnacentral:misc_RNA from 1 species